GAUGAACGCUGGCGGCGUGCCUAAUACAUGCAAGUCGAGCGAACAGACGAGGAGCUUGCUCCUCUGACGUUAGCGGCGGACGGGUGAGUAACACGUGGAUAACCUACCUAUAAGACUGGGAUAACUUCGGGAAACCGGAGCUAAUACCGGAUAAUAUAUUGAACCGCAUGGUUCAAUAGUGAAAGACGGUUUUGCUGUCACUUAUAGAUGGAUCCGCGCCGCAUUAGCUAGUUGGUAAGGUAACGGCUUACCAAGGCAACGAUGCGUAGCCGACCUGAGAGGGUGAUCGGCCACACUGGAACUGAGACACGGUCCAGACUCCUACGGGAGGCAGCAGUAGGGAAUCUUCCGCAAUGGGCGAAAGCCUGACGGAGCAACGCCGCGUGAGUGAUGAAGGUCUUCGGAUCGUAAAACUCUGUUAUUAGGGAAGAACAAAUGUGUAAGUAACUAUGCACGUCUUGACGUACCUAAUCAGAAAGCCACGGCUAACUACGUG
rnacentral:rRNA from 1 species